rnacentral:rRNA from 1 species
CAGCACCUCAAGUGGUCAGGAUGAUUAUUGGGCCUAAAGCAUCCGUAGCCGGCUCUGUAAGUUUUCGGUUAAAUCUGUACGCUCAACGUACAGGCUGCCGGGAAUACUGCAGAGAUAGGGAGUGGGAGAGGUAGACGGUACUCGGUAGGAAGGGGUAAAAUCCUUUGAUCUAUUGAUGACCACCUGUGGCGAAGGCGGUCUACCAGAACACGUCCGACGGUGAGGGAUGAAAGCUGGGGGAGCAAACCGGAUUAGAUACCCGAGUAGUCU